UCUGUCAGAUCCUGAGGCGUGGACAAAGCCGCGUUCCCACUUCUUAACUGGGCGAUACAGAUAUCACUUAGCAGCCUGGAGGCGGGACUUCGUGCUCCCGCCGAGCUGUGAUAGGCCCGCUCGUGAGCGCAAGAGCGCGGAAAGAACGUGCUAGGAGCAGUUUGGUUGACGGCGGAGGAGUGACGUGUCGGUCUGCGGACCGCGAAGGCUUCGCUGGGGAAGGUGUUGCCGGUUUGUCCCAGUCACGUGACCAGAAGCGGAAACCACGCGGAGGAAUAAGCCGAAACUACAAAUCCCAAAAAGCGGGGACUUGAGAUCUGUCAUCUCCGCUUAUGAUUUUUUUUUUAAGGCAGAAAUUGACCAUUACCUAAAUAAGAAAACUGAAGGAACCUGAAAGAAUUACAGAACUUCAGCUUACUUCGUAGGAAUCAGGCCAUUUCUGUGGAGCUUGUGUCUUUCCUGAAAUGUCUACUUCCAUCAUUGAUCAAAAGAAACACAUGCCUUCACCUCAUCUGGAGCACCCCAAAGUCUUCAUCUGGCAUUCCCUCUGCUCCCUCUACACCUGUACUUUUCUCCUGGCUGAGUCCUCAUUCAUCACCUCCUCUGUGGAACCCUCCCCAGCCACCUCCCUGCUCCUCCUUCGAGCUCCUGGAGCAUUCUGAAUUUCCCUUAUCAAAGAAUUUAUUGUGUUAAAUUGUAA